AGGACUUCGAGUGCGGGCCUCGGGGCCCAACCUCCCACCCGUGUUGCCCGAACCUAUGUUGCCUCGGCGGGCCCCGCGCCCGCCGACGGCCCCCCUGAACGCUGUCUGAAGUUGCAGUCUGAGACCUAUAACGAAAUUAGUUAAAACUUUCAACAACGGAUCUCUUGGUUCCGGCAUCGAUGAAGAACGCAGCGAAAUGCGAUAACUAAUGUGAAUUGCAGAAUUCAGUGAAUCAUCGAGUCUUUGAACGCACAUUGCGCCCUCUGGUAUUCCGGAGGGCAUGCCUGUCCGAGCGUCAUUGCUGCCCUCAAGCCCGGCUUGUGUGUUGGGCCCCGUCCCCCCCGCCGGGGGGACGGGCCCGAAAGGCAGCGGCGGCACCGCGUCCGGUCCUCGAGCGUAUGGGGCUUCGUCACCCGCUCUAGUAGGCCCGGCCGGCGCCAGCCGACCCCCAACCUUUAAUUAUCUCAGGUUGACCUCGGAUCAGGUAGGGAUACCCGCUGAACUUAAGCAUAUCAAUAAGCGGAGG
rnacentral:rRNA from 2 species